AGUGAACGCUGGCGGUAGGCCUAACACAUGCAAGUCGAACGGCAGCACAGUAAGAGCUUGCUCUUACGGGUGGCGAGUGGCGGACGGGUGAGGAAUACAUCGGAAUCUACUUUUUCGUGGGGGAUAACGUAGGGAAACUUACGCUAAUACCGCAUACGACCUACGGGUGAAAGCAGGGGAUCUUCGGACCUUGCGCGAUUGAAUGAGCCGAUGUCGGAUUAGCUAGUUGGCGGGGUAAAGGCCCACCAAGGCGGCGAUCCGUAGCUGGUCCGAGAGGAAGGUCAGCCACAUGGGAAACUAGAAAACGUCCCGACCCCCGACGGGAGCCACAGGUGGGAAUUCUAGACAAGGGGGCGAAGGCGGAUCCCGGCCAACCGGCGUGGGGAAGAAGGCCCUUGGGUUGGUAAGCCCUUUUGUUGGGAAAGAAAAGCAGCAGGUUAAUACCCCGCGGUUCUGACGGUACCCGAAGAAUAAGCACCGGCUAACUUCGUG
rnacentral:rRNA from 1 species